rnacentral:rRNA from 1 species
AUACGGAGGGUGCAAGCGUUAUUCGGAAUCACUGGGCGUAAAGGACGCGUAGGCGGGUUAGCAAGUCAGAUGUGAAAUCCUACAGCUUAACUGUAGAACUGCAUUUGAAACUGCUAACCUAGAGUAUGGGAGGGGGAGAUGGAAUUAGUGGUGUAGGGGUAAAAUCCGUAGAUAUCACUAGGAAUACCGAAAGCGAAGGCGAUCUCCUGAAACAUAACUGACGCUAAGGCGUGAAAGCGUGGGGAGCAAACAGGAUUAGAAACCCGGGUAGUCC